GGGGGCGAAGGGUCUCGACGGAGUGCUUGAGGGGCCUGGGUGCAUAGCGAGGUUUCCUCUGAUGCCUCGUAAAUCCGGUCAGAGGAAAUACAGCUGCCAAUAACAGCUACGCAUUGGCUGCCUAGAAAAGGAGCCCCUUGGACCGCGAGUUCACCCGGCGCGGAUUCAGGGUCUAAUAGGGUGAUAAAGGUAGGCAUUGUGUCUCAGGAUGUUUACCGGAUUAUCACUGAGACUGGGUUAUCCUUGCCUGUCAAUCGGCCAAAGGGUGAGCGAGAGAUAUAGAUUGACUAACUAUGUAGAGCGCAGGUUCCGAACUCUUCGGACGCGGGUUCGAUUCCCGCCGCCUCCAUUU
rnacentral:tmRNA from 1 species